rnacentral:rRNA from 1 species
CUACGGGUCGCUGCAGUGAGGAAUAUUGCACAAUGGGGGGAACCCUGAUGCAGCAACGCCGCGUGGAGGAUGACGCAUUUCGGUGUGUAAACUCCUUUUAUAUGUCAAGAAAAUGACGGUAGCAUAUGAAUAAGCACCGGCUAACUCAGUGCCAGCAGCCGCGGUAAUACGGAGGGUGCAAGCGUUACUCGGAAUCACUGGGCGUAAAGGACGCGUAGGCGGGCUUGUAAGUCAGGUGUGAAAUCCUACAGCUUAACUGUAGAACUGCACUUGAAACUACGAGUCUAGAGUAUGGGAGGGGAAGAUGGAAUUAGUGGUGUAGGGGUAAAAUCCGUAGAUAUCACUAGGAAUACCUAAAGCGAAGGCGAUCUUCUGGAACAUAACUGACGCUAAGGCGUGAAAGCGUGGGGAGCAAACAGGAUUAGAUACCCCGGUAGUC